AGAAAAGGCCUUUUUUGAUAAAUAAUCAUGGAGUAUGUGAUCAACACUAGCAGGUGAGUGCUUGUUUCUGACAUCAGUGUCUAGGAAUCAGAACAAUGGGUUGCUUAUCAAAUGCUGUGAGCAAGGUUCUGGGCCAAGUAUAAAAUGUAGGUAAGCAGAGCCAGACCUCCCAUGGCCACGCAAUAAGUCUGACUCCAACUAUCUCAUUAGCUUCAUGGGGCUGCCAUCUCCACCAUUACAACCCUGGUUUAUUUAGGCUCUGUUUCUGGAAGGCUCUUACUAAAAUGCAAAGUAAUUAGGAAAAGAUAAAAAGCAACCGAGAACCAAGUAAGCCAUUCCCAUAACCAUUUAUGAAAUUAUCUUUUCAUUAGUGCUUCAACAGAAAAGGAAAUUUAUAGAGAUCGAGAUGGGACCCAUCAUUAUGGAGCAUGGGCCACAUGGGGGUGAGCACAUAUCCAGGAAUAAUCUCGAGUGGAGGUGCCUGGAAGAAGCCUCAGGACCACUGGAGUUGAAAGAUGACAAGACAUAAUGGGAGGAUGAUUGGAUUGAAAGCGGAGUCACUGAUACACCACUUUCCAGCCUUGGCUUCUAUCUUCAUCAACAUUAAAUUCCCUGGUGGCAGCAAUCUCCUCAGUGCACUUCCCUCCCUGAGUGUUACACCUCUGCCGUCAUCCAUUACAGUGUUUUGAGAACAAUCUAUAGACACAUGCAUACGCCAAGAAAGCCUUCAGUUAAAAUUGUCUGUUGUCCUCUGGGCACAGUGGCUCAUGCCUGUAAUCCCAGCACUUUGGGUUAGGAGGCCAAGGCGGGCAGAUUACUUGAGGUCAGGAGUUUGAGAACAGCCUGGCCAACAUGGUGAGACCCCAUCUCUACUAAAAAUACAAAAAUUAGCCGAUGCGGUGGUGCACGCCUGUAGUUCCAGCUACUUGGGAGACUGAGGCAGGAGAAUCACUUGAACCUGGGAGGCUGAGGUUGCAGUGAGCCAAGAUUGCACCACUGCACUCUCGCCUGGGUGACAGAGCAAGACUCCAUCUCAAAAAAAAAAAAAAAUCAUCUAUUGUCUCUCCAUUACUUACGGUAGUGACCUGCAAACUUAUAUUCAUCCAGACCCUAUCAGUAAAAUAAUUUUAGCACAUACUUUUCCCACAAGAAUUAUAUUUCCUCUGUUAUUGCAUUUGUAUGCUAUACAUAUUUUAAAGCUUUACCAAAAACGGAAAGAAAAAAC
rnacentral:lncRNA from 1 species